GGGAGCGCAGGAUCCUGGGCUGUGUCCCCCAGAGCCCUGAGAUCUGGGGCCUGCGCUGCUGGAAUCGGGCUCCCUGGUCUAGGCUCCC
rnacentral:pre_miRNA from 1 species